rnacentral:lncRNA from 1 species
UCUUAAUCAAAAUCUAGUCAAAACUUGAUUAAAUCUUAGUAAAAUCCUAAAUAAGCCUUAACCAAAUCUUAGACAAAUCCUAGUCAAAUCUUAGUCAAAUCCUAAUAAAAUCCUAAUCAAAAUCUAAACAAAACAUAACCAAAUCCUAAUCAAAUUCUAAAUAAAUCAUAGUCAAAUCCUAAACAAAUUCUAAAUAAGUCCUAACCAAAUCCUAGACAAACCCUACUUAAAUCCUAGUCAAACCGUAAUCAAAUCCUAAUCAAAUUUUAAACAAAUCCUAACCAAAUCCUAAAUAAAUCCUAAUAAAAUCUUAAUCAAAUUCUAAAUAAAUCCCAGUCAAAUCUUAAUCAAAUUCUUAAUAAGCCCUAAUCAAAUCCUAAUAAAAUUUUAAACAAAGCUUAAUCAAAUCUUAAACAAAUCGUAGUCAAAUCCUAAUCAAAUCUUAACCAAACUUUAAUCAAAUCCUAAAUAAAUCCUUAUCAAAUCUUAGAAAAAUCCUAAAUUAGCCCUAACCAAAUCCUAGAUAAAUCCUAGCCAAGCUUAAAUCCAACCAAAAUCCUAAUUUUAACCCUAAUCCUAAAUCAAAUUCUAAAUCCUAACAAAAUCCUAAUCAAAUCCUAAUCAAUUUUAAGUAAUUCCUAUAGUAGAUUUAAACUUCAAUAACUAAUAAAUGAACCAUUGAUUUUAACUCAAAAUUUUCACACCUCUUAAAAAUUAAGUUUAUAACAAACAUAAAAAAUUUGA